rnacentral:rRNA from 1 species
UACGUAGGGGGCAAGCGUUAUCCGGAUUUACUGGGUGUAAAGGGAGCGUAGACGGCUGUGCAAGUCUGAAGUGAAAGCCCGUGGCUCAACCCCGGGACUGCAUUGGGAACUGCCCCGCUCGAGUGCCGGAGGGGCAGGCGGAAUUCCUAGUGUAGCGGUGAAAUGCGUAGAUAUUAGGAGGAACACCAGUGGCGAAGGCGGCUUACUGGACCGUAACUGACGUUGAGGCUCGAAAGCGUGGGGAGCAAACAGG